rnacentral:rRNA from 1 species
GACGAACGCUGGCGGCGUGCCUAAUACAUGCAAGUUGAGCGAUGAAGCUUGGUGCUUGCACCAAUUUGAAGAGCAGCGAACGGGUGAGUAACGCGUGGGGAAUCUGCCUUUGAGCGGGGGACAACAUUUGGAAACGAAUGCUAAUACCGCAUAACAACUUUAAACAUAAGUUUUAAGUUUGAAAGAUGCAAUUGCAUCACUCAAAGAUGAUCCCGCGUUGUAUUAGCUAGUUGGUGAGGUAAAGGCUCACCAAGGCGAUGAUACAUAGCCGACCUGAGAGGGUGAUCGGCCACAUUGGGACUGAGACACGGCCCAAACUCCUACGGGAGGCAGCAGUAGGGAAUCUUCGGCAAUGGACGAAAGUCUGACCGAGCAACGCCGCGUGAGUGAAGAAGGUUUUAGGAUCGUAAAACUCUGUUGGUAGAGAAGAACGUUGGUGAGAGUGGAAAGCUCAUCAAGUGACGGUAACUACCCAGAAAGGGACGGCUAACUACGUG